rnacentral:rRNA from 1 species
UAGGGAAUCUUCGGCAAUGGACGAAAGUCUGACCGAGCAACGCCGCGUGAGUGAAGAAGGUUUUCGGAUCGUAAAACUCUGUUGUUAGAGAAGAACAAGGACGUUAGUAACUGAACGUCCCCUGACGGUAUCUAACCAGAAAGCCACGGCUAACUACGUGCCAGCAGCCGCGGUAAUACGUAGGUGGCAAGCGUUGUCCGGAUUUAUUGGGCGUAAAGCGAGCGCAGGCGGUUUCUUAAGUCUGAUGUGAAAGCCCCCGGCUCAACCUGGGAACUGCAUUCGAAACUGGCAGGCUAGAGUCUUGUAGAGGGGGGUAGAAUUCCAGGUGUAGCGGUGAAAUGCGUAGAGAUCUGGAGGAAUACCGGUGGCGAAGGCGGCCCCCUGGACAAAGACUGACGCUCAGGUGCGAAAGCGUGGGGAGCAAACAGG